GCGGAUCCCGCGGCGUCCGGCCCGGGUGGUCUGGAUCGCGGAGGGAAUGCCCCGGAGGGCGGAGAACUGGGACGAGGCCGAGGUAGGCGCGGAGGAGGCAGGCGUCGAAGAGUACGGCCCUGAAGAAGACGGCGGGGAGGAGUCGGGCGCCGAGGAGUCCGGCCCGGAAGAGUCCGGCCCGGAGGAACUGGGCGCCGAGGAGGAGAUGGAGGC
rnacentral:lncRNA from 1 species